rnacentral:lncRNA from 1 species
ACACCAUCCCAUCAUCAUCAUCAUGCACACCAUCCCAUCAUCAUCAUCUCAUAUGCAACGGCUUAUGCGCAUAUAACCGGGUCAGCAACGGCUUAUGUGCACUCCCACUCACACAUAGCCGGGUUAGCAACGGCUUAUGUGCAAUCCUACUCGCACAUAGCCGGGUCAGCAACGGCUUCUGUGCACUCUUACUCGCACAUAGCCGAGUCCAAAUCAACAUGCAAAGAAACAUCCAAUGCAUAUCAUGCAUUUUAUCAUAUUGUGAUAACACAUAAACCAUUGUAUAGCACAUUUUCACAAUAUAAAAUCAUUUUACUAAAAGCUUGUUCCCAAGGUACAUUUUCUAAGACAAGUUGGAUAGAAUCUUUCAUAUUCCCCAAAAUAAGUUUAAAAUACAAGUCCACUCACCAGUAUUAGGAAUAUAAAUACUCCUAUUUUCAAUCCACAGGUACAGUCCUUUACCCGUAUCCAAUGGCUCACCACCUAGCCAUAAUCCAUGACACAUAUUUCAAUUAAAUUAUGUCUAACAGUCAUAAGCUAUUUCAAGCUUGAUAUAUAUAUGAUAUGAAAUGAAAAAUGCACGGGUAACCAUCUAGACCCGGUAUUGGCCUAAGUCGAUUUUUCAUCCGAUAAAUUGGCCAAUGCGUCCAAUUUCACUCCAAAUUAAUCCAUUUCUCCUCUAAUACCUUAAUUUACCACAUACCAUUUAAAUAAAGCCAAAUUCAGCAUUAGAACCCUCACAGUUCCUUAUAGAAAAAUUCGGUCAUUUGGUGCACUAGCACCAAAAAAUUUUCGACAUAACUGUUUCACCUUAAUUCAUCAUUUUUCAAGCCAUUUUCCUUGAAAUAAAAACAAUCCCCCAUUGAUAUUUAGCCCUCAUGGUUCGACCAACAAGGAACCCUAGAGAAAUUGAAUAUUUCAUUUGUGUUUUUGUUCAUAACCAUGCUUAACUAUCCCUAAACACUAACAUAGUCUAAAAUCAAAUUAUUCCAACAACAAUUCCUCUUCCAUACCCAUUUUUCAGAAUUGAAUUCAUCAUGAUAACUCAAUAUUCAACCAUGGAAAUCAAGAACAAAAUCAUGGGUAAGCUAGGUAUCAAGGAGAAUUAAAGAAAUUCUAACUUACCUUGCUUGUUUCCUUGAUUUCUUCACUUUUUCUUUGAAUUUCCACCUAAGUUUUCUUGUUUUUCCCUUUGUUCUUGUUGCUGGUUGCCUACGCUGAAUAUGGUGAGAGAAUUGGGGAUUUAAUGAGCUGAUUUCUAUAGACAAUAAUAAAAUAAUCAAGCAUGCCACGUGUCACAUGCUUAUUGGCCCAUUUUUUUAAUUUUUUGACUUUUUCUUCUUAAUUUUCCACCACAAAUAUUCUGGUACUUAUCCAAUCCUACCACAAUUAAAAUCCCUUGGUCUUGACAAGUGCUGGGGCAAAAAAUUUACCGAUUUGCCCCCGAGGCAAAAAAAUUACGAUUUUGCCCCUAUACUUCGAAAUGUACCGAAAUCACAUUAUUUCUACUUUUCAACCUCAAAUAACACUAAUAUUGAUCAAUAUUAACCAAAUAGGGCAAAAAAAUUGUUUUAUAAAAAUUCCCGUUUAGUCCUCUAGUGGCAAAAUUACCAUUUUGCCCUUGUGCUCCAAAAAUAUCGGGAAUCACAAUUUUUCACUGCUAAACAUCAUUUUAUACUCCAAUAAUCAUAAUUAUACUUCAUAUAAUUAUUCUUGGUCAAAUGUGAUCAAAUCUUGGCUAAAAAUCUCCAUUUUAUCAUCAAAUGGUAAAAUGACCGUUUUGUCCCUAAUCGGUCAAUUUUCCUAAUGGACUUCAAACUGGACCUUGAACUUCGAAUCACUAUUCUAAGCCAUUCUGUGGGUUUCAAAAUUUUCAAAUUCCUCUUAGAAUUUCUAUUUGAACUAGUUCAAGGCUCAAUUCAACUUAGUUGUACCACUCGGUACAAUACCGUCUUUUAAUCGAGCUUGACAGAGUCUCACAAUCUCAUUUUAUUCAUGCGUCCUAGACAUGAAGUGUUCUUAGUACCGCAGCACGGUGGCUGUUAGAGUUUACUUAAUCAAUGUUAUUCAUCUAUAUUUAAGGUUACUACACUAAUCAUUCUCAACCGUUUAGUUUCCCUCCAAGCUUACGUCACAAUUUCCAUAACCAUUUAUAUCCUCUUGUGUUUAUCACAUAUAAUAGGUAAAGUCGAUAUUUGUAAAUUCAUCUCAUCCUAUAACACUUGUCAACAAUCAAUAAAUCUCACUUUAGAAUACUCUUUCCAUAUUGUAUAGUAACUUCACCAUUUAGUAUCACGGCACUAUGUUCCUCCAUUCUACUAUCAUGGAUACUCCACAAAAAUUAAUUAAAAGAUUUACAUACCUUAACUAAUGCUAAUUCCAUUUAAUCAUAUCAUAAAUACUCCAAACUAAUAAAUUACAACUCCAAGUAUAUGUCUAUAUAUUGAUAAUCUUUAUAUAUUUCGUGAUCAUGAAAACUACAACUUACAAACUAGCUUUCGAUCAUAUGCACACUAUUAGAACAUUAAUUUUAACAUGUUUUAAUUCUCCUUUGGUGGUAUGUUAAGAUCAUUCCUGGAUACAUUUACAUAUUAACAUUGAUAUGCCUUUACCAUAGCAUUUAGUGCAAAUUCGAUGAAGGAAUUGUCUCCAAAUAACUCUUAAAUACAUAAUUAUCAAAUUGUAUACCACUAAAUGUUAAGAUCUUGACUUUAUUCAUCAAUAACCAAUCACAUUUAUUAAGUAAAUAAUUUACUUAGUUAUUACACCUUGCCUUUGCGAUCAUAAGAUCAAAGUUGUCCUAAACUUAGGAUGCAGAAGUUCUCUCUCUUAGAGUAUAUCCAAACAUCAACAUUUUCUAAAUUCCUUACUCUAGGGAGAUCACCUUCAAGACUGAUCAUUCGUAUCAUAGGCCACACUUUGAACCGAAUAAACUUUUAAACUAAUCUUUCAAGUAAUUCGUAUAUCAGUCUCAAUUAUAGAACUUCAUAUGGCACUUAGACUAGAUCCGACAUUUCCAAGUCAUUUAACCUCAAGCUGCCAAUUCCACAUCUAGUCCUUUAAAUCCUUUGGCUCCUCUUUACUAUGCAUAGCAAAGUUCAAGCUCAACCUUAGAGCAGAUUUGUUUACUAACCUUCUUACUUCAUGACCACACAUCAGUUAUAGUAAUCAUUGAUACUCACUCUCAAGUUAAUUCACAUGCUUAUAUCCAUGAACGAUAAUAGGUCUAAAAUCAAUUCUUGAGAUCUCAAAAUCACUUAAUUGAAAUCAACACCAGUUCCCUCUAAGUUGCUAUACCUAUUCAACACAUUUUCACAUAUAAAAUAUUUCAAAAUCCCAACACCAAUUUUANACAUCUAGUCCUUUAAUCCCUUGGCUCCCCCUACUAUGCAUAGCAAAGUUCAAGCUCAUCCUUAGAGCAGAUUUGUUUACUAACUUCUUACUUCAUGACCACACAUCAAUUAUAGUAAUCAUUGAUACUCACUCUCAAGUUAAUUCACAUGCUUAUAUCCAUGAACGAUAAUAGGUCUAAUCAAUUCUUGAAAUCUCACAAUCACUUAAUUGAAAUCAACACCAGUUCCCUCUAAGUUGCUAUACCUAUUCAACACAUUUUCACAUAUAAAAUAUUUCAAAAUCCCAACACCACUUUUAUAUGGGCAUAACAAACUCAAUUAACAUAGUGUUCUUAUCUUCAUGCACAUAAGUAUGGGUUUACUCUUACCUCAAUGCCUAAUUUAUACACUCCAAGUGAAUAACAACCAUCACUAUUCAUUCUAAUCAAAGUGCGCCUCUUAUUACCAUUAUCACAUGUACUCCUUUAUAUUAACCCCAAUACAAUCCAUAGUCCUCAAAUCUUUUUCCAAUUGACAACCAUGAGUUCAAUUAUAACUCCACCAAAUGAAUAAAUUAUCACGGCCUAUUAGUCCAACUCCAAAUUUCUCCAUCCUUAAUCGGAGGGAUAUAUCAUUUCAUUAAUCUUUCAUUAGGAGCAUUCGUUUUAAAAUCUCUCUAACAUUGGCUCGUGUCACGGGUGGCACCUUAAACCCAAACAGCGGCCCUGCUUAUGACCUUUGCAUGACAUUAACAAGGAAGUGGAUUAUUGGGAACAGGAGUUCAUAUAGCUCCCUGUCUAUGACUUAUGCUCCCAUAAGAUCUAUAAGAAGAAACAAAACGAGUCUAAACAACUCCAAAUUCUAUAUGCAGAUGCACGUAUUCUAUUCUAUCAAACCUAACUUAACUUAACUUAACUUGGGCCACACUAACACUAUAGUUUUUAAAACAACUUUAAAACAACUUUAAACCCAAAAGCUCUGAUAACACUCUAAUUGUCAUGACCCGGUACUCCUCUCGAGCCCGUGACAACCGUCACGAUAUCCCGAUCGACACUCAUUACCCGGAAUGUCAACCGAAACCCUGCAAGGCUUUAAUAUCAGUUUCUCAUUUUCCUUGUGAGUAACUGUUGCCAAAUAUCAUGUUCUAAAAGAUUUUAAGCUAUUUCCAACUUAAAUCAAUAAAAAAAAUGAUUUCUGUCUCACAGGGGCAUUUUGGUCAUUUUUCCUCAAAAAUCUUGAGUUAAGCUAAAAAUGUAGUAUGCAAGUGGAAAACACAUAUUUCAUAAUCAAAAAUAAGUUUAGAUUUCUAAAAGAUUCAUUUAAAGUGAAAUUAUAACUAUUUGAAUAUAAUAAAAAUAUUCAAUAAAAUAUUCUAUUUGCUUAUAGAACAAUAUUUAUAGUUACCGGUAAAAAAAUUUUGUAGCGUAAAAGCUAAAUAAAUUCAUACAUAUUGUAAUACAGCUAACCAAAGUAUAAAAUUUAAUUUAUAGUGACACAUGGGCCCACAAACGACCAAACGUAUCAAAAGCGGUAAACCUAUAAUUUUUGAGGAUGCAAGUCCAAUUGUAGCCCUCAACAAAGUGAGUUAUCUACCGACUAUCCUAAGCCUGAAAUGAGUGGAAAUGAGGGUGGUGAGAUUAUAUAAUCCCAGUGAGUAAACAAAUACCAUCUAAAAUAUCUAAAGUUGAGUAAAUGGAGACAAAUAAAAUAGUUUAACAUACUGUAAUUCAUCACCUUUCAAUUCGUUUCAACCAAAUAAAAUUAAUUCAUAUAAAUCGAAUAAUCAACAUGGCUUAUGAAUUUCUUAAAAGCUUUGGCUUGUGCCAAAAUCAUUCUUAUACUCAGUUAUUAGGGAUACCUUGGCCGAGGGCUAUCCCAACCGAGUCCGCCAAGGCUGAUAAAAAGUUAUGUACGCAUAAAUCAUGUUUUUAUUUUGAAAACAUAGUCAUUCCUACGCGUUGGCUGAGUUCACCCUCACGUGGUGGUUUGGUGUGAAGUGAACUCUAAAGUGUUAACCUUAGGAAUUAUCCAACUGCGCCUCUCAUAUUGAGGUAUGAGUAUAAUAGGGUUACCGUACCCCCUCUAAUCGGCUGGUCCACGGAACCCAUCCACUGCAGCAACCAAUUUAUAACCCACCAUAUAAUAAAAAUUCAACAACAUGACAUGGCAAUUUUAUCAUUAUCCAGCCUAUCAAGGCAAACAAUAGUUUAUACAUUUUCAACACAAAUACCAAUUCAGCCAUUCAUGCCAAUAUUGCCAUAAACCAAUCAAUUAGAACCAUAAAUUCACAAUACAUCAAAUAGUCUCCAAUUACUCUAUUUUCCAAAACCAUCAUUCAAUUUCAAGACAAUUUAUAAAAUCAUUUCAUUUAAUCACAUUUUGCUUAUAAAACAUAAAGAUUUACCAUUUAAACUCAUUUUUCAUAAAAUCACAAUUAGAUAAUUAAGAUGAUAAUAAGGUUACUCACUAUUUCGAGAGUCGAAUUCCGAGUACUCCGAUUCUUGAUCCUCAGGUACUAUCUCUUCACUUUUGCCAAAAUGCUCACCACCUAGACAUAAUGCACAAUAAGCCAUUUACUACAUUUGUGCUAAAUUGUUAUAAAACCAAUUCAGGCUCUAUACUAAUGCAUGAAAUGGGAUGUGAAAUACUCGGGUAACUAUCUAAAUACGGUGUUCAAUAUAAAUUCAAUUAUGUACCUAAAUAAAACAAUAUUGGCCUAAUUCGAUCUAUCACCCGAUUAAUUGGCCAAUACGUCCAAUUCAACUCUGAAUAAUUCCAUUUUUCUCCCAAUACUCCAAAUCAUCAAACACAAGUUAAAUAACUUGAAUUAUGGCAAAAUCAUCCUCACAUUUUCUCUUGGAAAAUUCGGCCAUGGUGGGUGCAUCAACACUAUAAUUUUUCAAGCUUGAUUCUCACACCAUAAAUCACUAAUUCCUAACCAAAUCACUUGAAAUAAAAUCAAAAUCAUCAUCAAUAUUCCACAUGGAGAAUUCGGCCAAUGAUGGGUGAUGGAAGAACAUGAAUUUUUCUUGCUUGAUUUUCAUGCUACACAUCACCAAUCAACUAAAAACACUAAAAUACAUUGAAAUCUAACCAAAUCAAGCAUCAAAACCUCUCUCUAAGUGUUCAGUCAGCAAGAUACCCAUCAUGAAAUCAUGUGAUUCAACCAUGGAAAAUGCAAAAGAAUGUAUGGGAAAGGUAGAUCACAAGUCAAAAUCAAGAAAUUUUACCUUUGAUUGCUUGAUUACUUGAAAUCCACCAAUUUUCUCUUGAAUUUUCACCCUAGGGUUCUUGUUCUUUCUUUUCUUCCUUUGUUCUUGCUUUGGCCGGCCAUAUGAAGAGAAAUGGGCUGAUUUUGUGCUGAUUUUUAAGCUAAAUAAUAAAUGGAUGAAAAUUUGACACAUGUCACCAUUCCAUUGGUCCAUGUGUCAUACUUACCCAUUAAGCAAUCUCUCUUCACCACUUAAAUUUCCUCAAUUAUCCAUGAUAAUAUUGGAUAAAAUCUCUGGACAAGUGUUGGGUGGUGUAAAAUUACAAUUUUGCCCCUAGGGUGGCAAAACGACUAUUUGCCUUUAUGCUUAAAAAAACGUCAGAAUUAAAAUUUUUCACUUUUCAAACUCAAAUUAUACUUCAAAUGAUCAAUCUUAGUCAAGAAUUUCAUCCAACACUCACAUCUUAACCUCGGGUGGCAAAAUGACCAUUUUACACAUAGGUCAUGAAAAUUUCAAUUUGACUCCAAAUAGGUCCUCGAAUUUCGAGUCACUAUUUUAAGUCAUUCUGGGGUUUUAAAAUUCUCAAUUUCAUCUUAAAAUCUCUAUUUGGACUAGUUCAAGGCUUAAUUCAACUUAAUUGUACCAUUUGGUACAUUGUCGUCCUUUAACGAUUUUUGAGGUACCCAAGUAAACAAACAUGCAUUCUUAUGUAGGAAUGGCAUAAUAAACAUAUUGUCGAGCUAGGCUUGACAGUAUCAUUGAGACUGGACAUCAAUGAUGCUUAGAGACUGGUAUAUUCUAUGUUCUUUACUAUUAGAAGUAAGCAAUCGAUCUCAUAGAUUGAAGUAUAGAGAUACUUGGAACUAGAAUAUAGGCGUUUGCCUAGAAGAGCAAGUUCACUGAACAUGACUCGCCAUGAGAAGUGUAUUUGGUAAUACACUAUAGUGUCUAUGCAACACUUCUCAUGUGACAGUCGUGUAAAUACUCUCUAGACUUGAGACACUAAUUGUCUUAUAUGUGGAGUGCUAAACUUUGAUUUCAUCCCUACGGGUGCCUAAUCAAGGAUGCCAAAACAGGAUGCUUUUGGGUAUAGUAUGAAGCAUGUGAAGGCAAAUGAGUGGUCAAGAUAGGAAUCAUCACCUCGAGUGUUUUAAAGGACAUAUCCUAUCAGUUCUUGGUUAACAUUAGUUUAUUGAAGUUCUUGGCCAAGGCGACAUGGAGAUUAUGAAAAAGGUUUCAUAACUCCCUAUAAAGCUAACGCUAUAAUUGCAGGAAUAAAUAUGGAGGUCAAUAAGAGUAAACACUAUACCAAACUCUUAUCAUCUCCGGGAUAUAUGAUGAGGGAAUGAAUUACAGUGAUAGACUGUACAUUGAAGAGUUGUCAAAGAACCCUUUGACUCUCCCAACAAUUGGGUGGCCAUGAUGCAUUGCUAGAUGCCAAUCUUGGUCUCUGGAAUUGAUUAUAAAUUAAUUGAUUAAAAUUUAUAUUAAUCAAUUAAGUCAUUAAUCAAUUCCAUUGCCAACAUGUUGGGAACCUAAUAGGUCACACACAAUGAUUGCAUUUGAAUUAAAUUGGGAGAGUGACGAUUUAAGUUAGACUUAAAUCACAUGCUAGGUAAUUAACUUCUAUAAACUUAAUUAAAAGAGUUUAAUUAAGUUUUUGUCAUAAUUAUAAAGCCUUGAUUGCAAAAUAUAUAGGAAAUUAAUUUUGAUUUUAAUUUUCAAGGACUUAAUUAAAAGAGUUUAAUUAAGUAAUGGGCCUAAUAUUAUAAUGUGUUAUAAUAUUGAGGGCUUAAUUGCAAAAUUGAAGUUAUUUUAACCUAAAUAUAUAAGUCACAUUUUAACUAUUUUUUUAUGAAAGUUUUUCACAAUUGAAAAAAACGUAGUUUUUGUCAGAAAAAGAGAAACGUUUUCUUUCUUUGCCACCACUCCCUUUGUGUGAAAGAGAAAAUUGCUUGUAAAGCAAUUUUCGAAAGAGGUUCAGCUAAAUUGUGAAAAAGAAGAAAAGGGCAAUUGUUGUCCUCUCUGCUAGCACAAAGUAUAGUUAAAACCUCCUUCCUUUGUUGAAGGCUCAAGUGCAAUCGUGUGUACUACCAUUGGAGGCCAAGCACUUGAUUGGCUAGGGUUUUUGUUCCUUGUGGUGUUCACAAGAUUGCUUCGAAAAGUGCCAUUGUGAUUACGAAAUUACAUGGCAAGGUAACUUUCUAAACAAUAAUUUAUUUUGUGCUUUUAUGUGUUAAAUAUCACCAAGGUGAUCCAUGGGUGGAGGCAUGUUUUGUUGUUUAGUUAUAAAAUUUUUAAUUUUCUUUCCGCUGCGUAUUUUGAGCAUGCCAUCGAUAGCCAAACCCAUCAGUGGUAUCAAAGCCUUCCUUGGUUCGAUUUUAACACAUGUUGAUGUCUAUUGUUGUUAAUGCCUUGUUGAAAAGGAAUAUGAGGUGUUCGGGUUUUGUUCACAAAUUAGUAAGUUUUAAAAUUUUACAAUUUGUUCUAGUUAUUUUGAUUUCUAGAUAGAUUUUAAUUGUAAAUUUUAAAAUUUAUUUGUCAUAAUAUUAAUCUCGUUUUAAUGUCAAAAUAUUGCAGAUUAACAAGUGCAUGAGAUGCACAAAUUAAUUUAGCAAAUAAAGAUUCGAUCUCAUAACAUUAUGGUGUGAUUUAAAUGGUAGAAUACGAUUCUGUCCAGCCAUGGUAUUGGUCCAUUUUCAGCUAUAAAAGUGAGGCUUAAGUGCUUCAUAAAAUGCAAAAAAAAUUAAGAGAUCAAUACACAUUGAAAAUGUUCCAAGAUGGUGUUCUACGUGGGUUCAAUUAUGAUCGGACUGAAUUGACAUUCGACCUAACUCGCACUAUGCCUUGUUUAAUUAGCCAAAACAUCCAAUUCAACUCCAAAUAUCUUCAUUACACUUCCAAUAUUCCAAAUACACCAAAGUACCUCAAUGAGCUUAAUUGUGACUUAAUUCACCGUAACCGAAAUUCAUUCCGAUUUCGAUAUCCGAUACCAUAAAUCAUCAAUUACAAGCUAAAUAACAUGAAAUACAACAAAAUCCAUCAUCAACAUGUCACCUAAUAAAUUCAGCCAAAGAGGGUUAUUGAAGGGCAUGUGAUUUUCUUGCUUGUUUUUCCUUCCAAACAUCACAAAAUGACUAAAAACAUUAGGAUAUUAUGAAAUCUAGUAAAAUUCAUCACCAAAACUUCUCUCUCUAGAUUUGGCCAGUAAAGGUUCCCUCUUGAAAACUUGAAUUUCAGCCAUGGAGAAUGAAAAAGAAAGCAUGUGAAAGGUAGAUCACAAGUUAAAAUUAAAAAAUCUUACCUUUACUUGCUUGAUUCCUUGAAAUCCAAAAAUUUCUCUUGAAUUUUUCCUUCCUAGGGUUUGUUCUUCUCUUUUUCUCUUUGUUCCCUUGCUUGGCCAGCCAUAAGAGUGUGAAUGUGAAGGUUUUAAGUGAGUUUAUAUAGGCAAUUAAAAUAAUAUUAAAGCUUGACACUUGUCACCUUUUUAUUGGUCCAUGUUUAAAAACUUAAUAAUUAAACAUUUCAUUCCCACCACAUAUAAUCUCUCACUUUAAAAAAAUAAUGGGUGAAAUUCAGGGAUUUGACAAGUGUCAUGGUGGUGUAGAAUUCCAAAAUUUUCAAUUUCGCCCUCAUGGACACUUAAAAUGACCGUUUUGCCCCUAUGUUUAGAAAAAUGUCGAAAUUGAAAUUUUUCACUUCUAAAAUUCAAAUAAUGCUCUAAUUAAUCAAAUUUACUCAAAAUAUCAUCCAACAUUCCAAUUUUUCCCUUGAGUGGCAAAAUGACCAUUUUGCCCCUACAUUAUGAAAAUUCUCGAAUUAACCCCAAAUCAAUCCUCGAAUUCUGAAUAAUCAUAUUAAGACAUUCCUAAGGUUCAAUAACUCUUAAAUACAUGCUAAAAUCUCUAUUCAAACUAGUUCAAGUUUUUAAUCGACUUAAUUGUACCACUAGGUACGAUACCGAUUUUUAACGAUUUUUCGAGGCAUCCUAAUAUGUAGAUAUGCUAUCAAGUACAUGAAUGACAUGACAAGUAUUUAAUAGAGUAGGGCUUGACAAUUUCCUAAUAAGAUUAGGUAAUAAUAGACAUUCAAUCUUUAAUUAAAUGAGAUUAAUAAUAGAUUGUGUAAAAUGUUUAGGAGCACAAAUUAAAGUGUUUUAAUUUGUAAUUUGUAAUAAAAAUUUAAUUCUAAUCCUAAGAAGAUUAGGAAUGGAUAAAUUACUAAUUUUGAUUAGUAAUACUUACCAUAUAUGAAAGAAGUUUCCAUAUAUAUAGAAUUAAAUGGGUACCCAAAAAUUUGAAAUUGGUAAAAUUCAAAUGUUGAAAAUUGCUAAUCUCAAAUACCUCAUAUGAUUAACAAUUUGAAUGAGACAUGUCUUUAAAUUUUAUUCAUAUUGAUGAAUAUAUGUUGAUGAUUAUGGACUUAGGCCUAAUAUGAUUAUGCUAUGGUUGAAUGUAUAUUCUUGGUAUUUUUGAAAUAGGACCUGCGUGUCCUGCUUUAUCUCUUUAUCUCGAUUUGUAAAAUUCUUUCCUUAUCUUACUCCCCUCGAAUGUAACUGGAGGUUACUACAUUCAAAUGUAAUUAGAAUUAGGAUAGAUUAGGAAUUGAAUUUUGGAAAAAUUGAUGAUGGAGAUCCAAGGCACUAAGAAGGACAAGGAGAUGACAAGAAAAUUUUGAAGAUUCUUAUAUGUAAUCCCUUAGGUUUGACGAAGCUAGUUUCCUUUGAUGGCUCAAGGAAAUUAGUAUAGUUAAAGACCAUAAUCAUCUAAAGUAGUUUGCAUGUGAUAGAUUUAUUUUAUGCAAUUUAAUAAAUGCUAUGCAAUGCAAAGUAGUAUGCAUGUGAUAGAUUUAUUUUAUGCGAUUUAAUAAAUGCCAUGCAUACAAAGAUGAGACCCUAAUAGAGGCGAAAAAAAAAUCCUUCAUUAUAUAUUGAGUCACAUGCCACGCAUGAGUAAGUUGCCUUCCACCAUAAAGCAAGAUAACUUGGCUGCUCUUUUAAUCGGAGACUUGUUGAGCACACUCAAGGUCACACUUUUACACGAGUAUGUUUGAGCUAUUGGUGGGCUUUACUCAACUAGUUUCAUAAAAUUUGAAUGCUUGGAAACUUGAUUAUUAUGAAACUAGAGGCAAAGGCUAGGCGAAAUAUAUAUGAUAUGUUUAGGUAAUGUGUUGUCACCUAGCUGAUCUAGCAGUUGUAUAAAGAUACAAUUGGUAAGCUCAAUUACUUACCUAAUCCACCGAUCAUGGUUUGUUGAGCACAUUUAAGGCCAUGACUUGAUGGAUGGGAUCCUAGCCCACUAAAAGAAUCCUAGUAGAGAUCUCUCGAGGUGAUAUGGAAGGUUAUCAUCUUGUAGAAAAUAGUGGGAGAACUAUUUAAAAUUUUAAAACCUUGUUUUAAAUAGUUUAUGCAUGAUAUUUACGUAUUACUUUAUUUUAUCUAUUUAGACAUAAUUUAUAUAUAUGGCUAAUAAUAUGUCACUAUGGUGCAUCUUGGAUGCAAAUCAAACUCACUAGACCAAAACCUUUUUAAAGGUACCGGUACUUGAGAAAUGUUCUCAAGUGAAAGGUUGUUCGUUCCACAAUCUCUACCAAAUACAAUUCAUAAUUACAAGUGUGCUUCCAUGAAAUGGAAUUUAUACUGCCUUAAUUAUGAAUUGAGAAGACAACCACGAUAAUGGCACUAAUUGGGAAAUGUUCUUAAACAUCUUUAUGGUAAAGAUGGACAAAAGAGGGACUAUAAAAAAAAUAUUUCCUUGACAGAGUUAAAAAAGAGGAAGCUUAUAGAAGCCUUUACUUUGCCAAAGUUUAUGAUUGAGUUAGACGUUACUACUGUUGUAUUAACAUCAUAAGUAUUCGAUACUAGAUGUUGAAUGCAUUUAAGUAAUGACAUAAAGCACAAAAUAAUAGUAGUAAGUCAAUGCUCAAUAUAAAUGUCAAGAAAACUGAUUGCAUAUGAUCUCAAUUAUGGCAUUUUUGUCUUGGUCAUUAAAGUAAGAAUUAGAGUAUGAAGAUACUUAGAUCUUUUUGAUUGGGAAUCAUAAAGGAGCUAGUAAUUCUUAUAUGACCAAAUCAAUUUUCAUGCAAAAAUGAAUGACUUCGUAUGUUCAAAAGGUCUUAUACAUAUAGAUGUAUAUGAACCAUUGAACAUAAAUUGUUAUGGAAAAUGUUCCUAAUUCAUUAAGUUUGCACAAGAUCAAAUUGAGAUUUUGUCUUGUAUACUUAAAGAAAUAAAAUUUGAAACCUUGAAAUGUUUAGAGAAUUCAAAUAUAAGAUCAUAUGAGCUAUAUAGUAUGAAGUACUCUUAUUAAGAUAUGAUCUUAGUGAAGAUUACUCUUACUUAUUAAUUAAUUAUUCAAAAGAUGAAUGUAGAUUCAUGUGAAAUGGAACUUUCUUAUGAAUAGAACAUAGAGAUAUUUGUUCAAAGAAGAAAGCAAACACAUAUAGUUAUAUGAUUUGGUCCAUAUCUCUCCAAGUUAUAUGUAGCCAAUUAUAUUAUUCUAAACCAAUAUGAUUCCAAGCAUACAUUGAGAUGUAUGUAUGUAACAUCACGAAAAAUUCAAAAGAGUUUGAUUAUUACUCUCACAAAGGAUCUUGGAUUUAGUGGGAGUAUGAUAACACUAAAAAAAGAGUUUUUUAGUUAUUACAUGGUUACGUUGGAAUCUAACUCUUAAGAUUUUGCAUAGAGAAGCAUAAUCAUAUGUAUGAGAACUCCAUGGAUUUAGUAAGAUACCUUGAAGAUGUAUUAUUCAUAUGAGAUGAACUACUAAAUAUGUUUUUUGUUGGAGUUAUACACUUUGUUAUAUUAUAUGGGAUCCAAAGGGUUGGAUUUAAUAAUAUGUACAUGUGUAUUUAUCUCAUACACAAAAUGAAGUUAGUGGGAGUGAAUAUAAUUCUUUGGUGAUACAAUUACAUGAGAUGCAAUGUGAAUAAAAAAAAAAAGUGCCAAAAUUUAAAAGGGGUAGAUGGUACAAUGAAAAGUGACAAAUGCAUAUGAUGCAUACAACAUAAUUUAUGUCACGACCCAGUACUCCCCUCAAAGCCCGUGACAACCGUCGCGGUACCCCGAUAGACACUCAUUUUUCGGAAUGCCAACCGGGACCCUGCAAGGCUUAAUAUCAGUAUCUCAUUUCCCCUGUGAGUAACCGUUGCCUAAAAUCAUGUUCUAGAAGAUUUUAAGUUGUUUCCAACUCAAAACAAAUAAAAUAAUAAUUUUUGUCUCACAGGGGUAUUUUGGUCAUUUUUCCAAAAAUUUCGAAACUAACCAAUAAUGUAGUAUAUAAGUGCAGAACACAUAUUUCAAAAUCAAAAAUAAAUUUAGAUGUCUAAAACAUUCAUUUAAAACGAAAUUAUGAUUAUUUGGAUAUAAUAAGAAAAUAAAAUAAAUAUUAAGUAAAAUAUUCUAUUUUCUUAUUAAACAAUAUUUUUAGAGUUAUACGUAGAUAAUUUUUGUAACCUAAAAGCAAAGUAAACUCAUACAUACUGCAAUACAGUAAACCAGAGUAUUUAAUUUAAUUUACAAUGACCAGUGGGCCCCCAAAUAACUAAAAGUAAAGGGGAUUAUGAACCUACAAUUUGGAGGAAUGCAAAUCCAAGGGUAGUCCUCGAUGAACUCAGCUAUCUACAACCUAAUCUGAACCUGAAAUGGGUGGAAAGGAGAGUGGUGAGAUUUUAUAAUCCUAGUGAGUAAACAAACAUCAUCUGAAAUAUCUAAAGUCGAGUAAAAGGAGACAAUUAAAAUAUUUCAUCUCAAUAUGUAUUUCAUAACAUAAAUAUUCAUUUCAUUUAAAUAUUCAACAUGGCUUAUGAGUAUCUUAAAAGCUUGGCUCCUGCCAAAAUCCUUUUCGGGGAUACCUUGGUCGAGGCAUCUAACUGAAUCCGCUAAGGUUGUUAAAAAGUUCGUAUACACGUAAACAUAUUUUUAGUUUGAAAAACACAACCAUUCCUUGGCGUUAGCGGAGUUCAUCAUCACGAGGUGGUUCGGCGUGACGUGAACUCUGUCCAUACCUCAGGAGAUACCCUACGCGCCUCUCCGAUCAAGGUACAUAUAUAACUAUAUCCGGAUUUCGUGCCCCUCCAAUAGGCUGGUUUUCAUGACCCAGUACACCCCUCGAGCCCGUGACAACCGCAACGGUGUCCCGGUAGACACUCAUUGCCCGGAAUGUCAACCCGAAACCCCGCAAGGCUUUACUAUCAGUUUNNNNNNNNNNNNNNNNNNNNNNNNNNNNNNNNNNNNNNNNNNNNNNNNNNNNNNNNNNNNNNNNNNNNNNNNNNNNNNNNNNNNNNNNNNNNNNNNNNNNNNNNNNNNNNNNNNNNNNNNNNNNNNNNNNNNNNNNNNNNNNNNNNNNNNNNNNNNNNNNNNNNNNNNNNNNNNNNNNNNNNNNNNNNNNNNNNNNNNNNNNNNNNNNNNNNNNNNNNNNNNNNNNNNNNNNNNNNNNNNNNNNNNNNNNNNNNNNNNNNNNNNNNNNNNNNNNNNNNNNNNNNNNNNNNNNNNNNNNNNNNNNNNNNNNNNNNNNNNNNNNNNNNNNNNNNNNNNNNNNNNNNNNNNNNNNNNNNNNNNNNNNNNNNNNNNNNNNNNNNNNNNNNNNNNNNNNNNNNNNNNNNNNNNNNNNNNNNNNNNNNNNNNNNNNNNNNNNNNNNNNNNNNNNNNNNNNNNNNNNNNNNNNNNNNNNNNNNNNNNNNNNNNNNNNNNNNNNNNNNNNNNNNNNNNNNNNNNNNNNNNNNNNNNNNNNNNNNNNNNNNNNNNNNNNNNNNNNNNNNNNNNNNNNNNNNNNNNNNNNNNNNNNNNNNNNNNNNNNNNNNNNNNNNNNNNNNNNNNNNNNNNNNNNNNNNNNNNNNNNNNNNNNNNNNNNNNNNNNNNNNNNNNNNNNNNNNNNNNNNNNNNNNNNNNNNNNNNNNNNNNNNNNNNNNNNNNNNNNNNNNNNNNNNNNNNNNNNNNNNNNNNNNNNNNNNNNNNNNNNNNNNNNNNNNNNNNNNNNNNNNNNNNNNNNNNNNNNNNNNNNNNNNNNNNNNNNNNNNNNNNNNNNNNNNNNNNNNNNNNNNNNNNNNNNNNNNNNNNNNNNNNNNNNNNNNNNNNNNNNNNNNNNNNNNNNNNNNNNNNNNNNNNNNNNNNNNNNNNNUUUUUUUUUUACUUUAAUAAUUAUGCUUCCAUUCUCCACCGCAUGAUUAGUCAAAGGUCGAAAUGAGGUUAAGGGAAGACCAUGUGCUGGACAAGUGUCCUGGUGGUGAAAAUUAUGAUUUUGCCCCUAGGGUGGUAAAAUUACCAUUUUACCCCUAUGCUCCGAAAAAUACCGGGAUUACAAUUUUUUACUUCUCAACCUCAAAUUAUACUCCAAUAAGUCAAAUAUGAUCGAAAUCUUUCAAAAGAAAUUCCCAUUUUGUCCUCGAGUGACAAAAUUACCAUUUUACCCUUAGAUAGCGAAAUUUCCAAUUUGACUCCAAUUCGAUCCUCAAACUCCGAAUCACCAUUUUAAGUCAUUCUAGGACCUUAAAAUUCUCAAUUUCACCUUAAAUUCUCUAUUUGAUCUAGUUCGAAGCUUAGUUCAACUUAGUUAUACUAUUAAGUACACUACCAGCUUUUAAUGAUUUUCGGGGCUUUCCUAGCAUGCAAACAUGCUAUCCAUCACAAGCAUGUCAUGACAAGUAUUUUAUAAGGUCAGGCUUUACAGUUUAGUUGGAAUGGUUCCAAAGAAAGAAAGAGGACUAUGUACAUGUAUAUAAUUAAAGUCAUAUAAAUCCUAUAAAAAGGGCUCUAAUAGGAAGAUACUUAGAUCGUUAGUCCAUGAUACUAACAAAAGGUUUUGAACAUUGUUAAUGUAACAAUGGAGCCAUACAAACAAAACCUGGGUCUCAUCCGAUCUAGAUAUAGUAAUAUGACAUGAUGUGAUGCAUGGACAUAACGAAGGUAGAUAAAUGUAAUUAACCACAUUAAAGGGCACAAGCGAGUCUACAUGCAAACACGAUUGCUAGAUGGAUUGAAUCCACAUACGAUGAGGUAGCAAUUGGCUUUGUGCUAGUGGGAGAUGUUGGGAUGAGCCUUGUAGCCAAUUGGGAUUGGUUAAGGCUUGAUUCCAAUCAUGCAACAGUAUCAUUCAUGUUGAAUGAUUAGAGGUUUUCUUCAUCAAUAAGACAUCAAUUAUAAUAAGUUAUAAGUCUAAUUGGAUGAAGUCCAUGUGAUUAAUAUGCCUUGCAAGGAAACUGUAAUGGGUUGCAGUUAUGAGAUUCCUAUGCAUCAAAGCAUAAUCUCAAAAUGUUCCUGGUCAAUGUAUCAUUGAGACUGGACAUCAAUGAUACUUAAAGACUGGUAUAUUCUAUGUUCUUUACUUUUGGAAGUAAGCAAUCGAUCUCAUAGAUUUAAGUAUAGAGAUACUUGGAACUACAAUAUAAGUGCUUACCUAGGAGAGCAAGUUCACUAAACAUGACCCGCUAUGAGAAGUGCAUUUGGUAAUACACUCUAGUGUCUAUGCAACACUUCUCAUGUGUUAGUCAUGUAAAUACUCCCUAGACUUGAGACACUAGGUUGUCUUAUAUAUGGAGUGCUAUACUUUGAUUUCAUCUUUACGGGUGCCUAAUCAAGGAUGCCAAAACAGGAUGCUUUUGGGUAUAGUAUGAAGCAUGUGAAGGCAAAUAAGUGGUCAAGAUAGGAAUCAUCACCUCGAGUGUUUUAAAGGACAUAUCCUAUCAGUUCUUGGUUAACAUUAGCUUAUUGAAGUCCUUGGCCAAGGCGACAUGGAGAUUAUGAAAAAGGUUUCAUAACUCUCUAUAAAGCUAAUGCUAUAAUUGUAGGAACAAAUAUGUAGGUCAAUAAGAGUAGACACUGUACCAAGCUCUUAUCAUCUCUGGGAUGUAUGAUGAGGGAAUGAAUUACACUGAUAGACUAUAUACUGAAAGGUUGUCAAAGAACCCUUUGACUCUCCCAACAAUUGGGUGGCCAUGAUGCAUUGCUAAAUGCCAAUCUUGGUCUGUGGAAUUGAUUAUAAAUUAAUUGAUUGAAAUUCAUAUUAAUCAAUUAAGUCAUUAAUCAAUUCCAUUGCCAACAUGUUAGGAACCUAAUGGGUCACACACAAUGAUUGCAUUUGAAUUAAAUUGGGAGAGUGACGAUUUAAAUUAGACUUAAAUCACAUGCUAGGUAAUUAACUUCUAUAAACUUAAUUAAAAGAGUUUAAUUAAGUUUUUGGCAUAAUUAUAAAUAGUUAUAAUUAUAAGGCCUUGAUUACAAAAUAUAUAGGAAAUUAAUUUUGAUUUUAAUUUCCAAGGACUUAAUUAAAAGAGUUUAAUUAAGUAAUGGGCCCAACAUUAUAAUGUGUUAUAAUAUUGAGGGCUUAAUUGUAAAAUUGAAGUUAUUUUAACCUAAAUAUAUAAGUCACCUUUUAACUAUUUUUUUAUGAAAGUUUUUCACAAUUGAAAAAACGUAGUUUUUGUCAAAAAAAGAGAAACGUUUUCUUUCUUUGCCACCACUCCCUUUGUGUGAAAGAGAAAAUUUCUUUUGAAGUAAUUUUCGAGAAAGGUUCGGCUAAAUUGUGAAAAAGAAAAAAAAGACAAUUGUUGUCCUCUCUGCUAGCACAAAGUAUAGUUAAAAACUCCUUCCUUUGUAGAAGGUUCAAGUGCAAUCGUGUGUACUACUAGUAGAGGCCAAGCACUUGAUUAGCUUGGGUUUUUGUUCCUUGUGGUGUUCACGAGAUUGCUUUGAAAAGUGCCAUCGUGAUUAUGAAAUUACAUGGCAAGGUAACUUUUUAAACAAUAAUUUAUUUUGUGCUUUUAUGUGUUAAAUAUCACCAAGGUGAUCCAUGAGUAGAGGCAUGUUUUGUUGUUUAGUUAUAAAAUUUUUAAUUUUCUUUCCGCUGCGUAUUUUGAGCAUGCCAUCCAUAGCCAAACCCAUCAAUGAUAUGGUCCAAUUUUUCCAUCAAUAUAUCAUGUAAAGCCCGACCUUAUAAAAUACUAUUCAUGACAUACAUGUGAUGAUAGUAUGAUUGCAUGCUAGGAGAGUCUCGAAAAAUUUACAAAAGUCAGUAUUGUACCUAGAAGUACAACAAAGUUUAUUUAAUCUUCGAACUAGAUCAAAUAGGAAUUUUAAGGUGAGAUUAAGAGUUUCACAGUUCAUGGAUGACUUAAAAUGGUAAUUUGGAGUUUGAAGAUCAAUUUGGAGUCAAAUCGAAAUUUUCACUAACUAGGGGCAAAAUGGUCAUUUGCCAGUUGGGGACAAAAUGAGAAUUUUAGAAAAGAUUUUUUUGACCCCAUUUGACUUAUUGGAGUAUAAUUUGACUUAUUGGAGUAUGAUUUGAGGUUUAAAAGUAAAAAUUUUUAAUUUCAGUAUCAUUUGGAAUAAAAUGGUAAAAUGGUAAUUUUGUCACCUUAAGGGCAAAAUUGUAAUUUUCCACCACCAGGAUAUUUUUCCAGCACAUGGUCUUCCUUUAUCUUCAUCUUUGACCCUUGACUAAUCAUGUGGUGGAGAUAAAAUGUUUAAAUUUUUAAAAUUUUAAAAACGGACCAAUGACAUGAUGCCAUGUGUCAUGCCUUUAUUAAUUUAUUAUUUUCCUUUUUAAAAGGCACAAAAUCAGCCCAUCUUCCACCCCAUGGCCGGCCAAACCAGCAAGAAGAGAGAGAAAAAAAAAACAAAACCCUAGAGAGAGAAAAUCAAAGAAAAAGUGUGAAUUUUCAAGGAAAUUAAGUGAAAAAGGUGAGAUUUUUUCUAUUAAGCUUGAGUUUUCUUAUUCCCAAGCAUUUCUCUUUAUUUUCCAUGAUUAAAUUACAUGUUUUCAUGAUGAAUUCAAUUCUGAAAAAAUGGGUUAGGAGAGAGAAAGUUGUUGGAUUUAUUUGAUUUUAAUUUAUGUUAGUGUUUUUAGUUAGUUUAGCAUAUUUAGAAACAAAACAAAACAACAAGAAUUUAUUUUCUCCCCCAACCAUUAAUGGCUGAAUUUACCAUGUAGUGAGUGAGGAUGAGUUUGAUUUUAUUCUAGGAGAAUUGGUUAAGGAAUAAUGAAUUAUGAGCCUAGAAAAAUAAUGGGAAUUUUCGGAGCAAAAAUACGAAUUUUUACCCACUAGGGGUAUUUUCAUAAUUUACUAUCGAGACUGAUAAUUUGCACCACACUGAGGGACAUUAAGUUAAUUUGGGUGCAAUUGAGGUAUAGAAACUGAAAAGAAUUAAAUUGGAGUUUAAACGGACGCGUUAAGAAUUUAAUCGGGUGAUAAGACGAAUUAGGCCAAUACUGACUUUAGAUAGUUACCAGUGCAUUUUUGCAUUCCAUAUCAUGCAUUGAUAGUUGAAAUUAGUUUAAUUUUGAUUUAGUACCAACUUGGUGAAAUUCUCGAUUUUGUACUGUGUCAAGGUGGUGAGUCCUCCGAUAAAGGCAAGGAAAUUGCAUCCGAGGACCAGUAGACAGAGUGCUUCAGAAGUCUGCAUUCUAGACAUUGUGAGUAAACUUACAGUCAUUUUAAUUAUCUAGGGUCGUUUUUAGAUGCUUUCAUGAAUUCUAUGGAAAAAGGAAUUUAAAAAGGUAAAUUUUCAUAUUUUAUGAAUAAAUGAGUUUCAAUGAAAUUAAUUUAUAAAUUGUUUUGGAAUUAAUAAUGAUUUUGAAAAAUAGAGUACACGGAGAUUGUUAAUUGUGACAAUUUGAUUGUUUAAAUUGACUGGCUUAUGAUAAAUCGAGCAUGAUUGGCUAGUUGGCAAUUAUAUUGAAAUGCGAAUUGUUUGGUUGCCUUGAAAAACUGCGAAUUACAAAAUUACCAUAUCAUGUUAUUGAGUUUUAUUAUAUGGUGGAUUAUAUAUUAAUCAAUCACUACAAUAGGGGGUUUCUGUGGACCAGCCUUUUAGAGGGGCACGGUAAACCCCAUUAUAUUCUUACCUUGAACGGAGAGGCGCGUAGGGUAUCUCUUGGGGUAAAGUUUAGGGUUCACUUCACGCUAAACCACCACGUGAGGGGGAACUCAGCCAACGCCAAGGAACGGCUAUGUUUUCAAAACAAAAACAUGAUUUAUGUGAAAUGUGAAUUUUAAUAGCCUUGGCGGUCUCGAUAGGAUGCCUCGGCCAAGGUGUCCCCGAGAAUAGAUUUAUGGCACAAGCCUAGAUUUUUGUGAGAUUCAUAAGCCUUUUUACGUAUUUUGAACGAGAUGUGUUCUAAUUGUAUAACCCACUUUACGAUGAUUUACUUUAUUGUCUCCAUGUACUCAACUCUAGAUGUUUAUGAUGAUGUCUGUUUACUCAUUGGGAUUUUAUAAUCUCACCACCCUCUUUUCCACCCAUUUCAGGUUCAGUAUAGACUGUAGAUAGCUGAUCUCAUCGAGGACUACGGUGGGAUCUGCAUUUUCCAAACCGUAGGUUCACAGUCCUCUUUACUUUUGUUUAUUCGGGGGCACUCUUGUUAUUGUAAAUUAAAUUAAAUAUUUUGGCUUAUUGUAUUUAAAUAUGUAUAAAUUUAUUUAGCUUUUACGCUUAAAAAUUAUUCACGUAUAACUCUAUAAAUAUUGUUUUAUAAGAAAAUAGAAUAUUUUACUUAAUAUUUCUUUUAUUUUCUUAUUAUAUUCAAAUAACCAUAAUUUCGUUUUAAAUGAAGAUUUUAGACUUUUAAACUCAUUUUGAAUAUGAAUUAUGUGUUUUGUAAUUGUAUAUUACGUUUUAGCCAGUUUCGAAAUUUUUGAGAAAAAUGACCAAAAUACCCCUGUGAGACGAAAAAUUAAUAUUUUAUUUGUUUAAAGUUGGAAACAGAUUAAAAUCUUUUAGAACACGAUAUUUGACAAUGGUUGCUCAUAAGGGAAUAGAGAAACUGAUAGUAAAGCCUUGCGGGGUUUCGGGUUGACAUCUCGGGCAAUAAGUGUCUACCAGGACACCGCGACGAUUGUCACGGGCUCGAAGGGAGUACCGGGUUGUGACAUAUCAUGAGCCACGUAAGCUUGAUUCAAGACCUUGAGCAUCACAUUCCUGUGUGCUUUCGAGUUCAAAAACAAAGAUAACAAUGAGAUGUGAGCAGGCAUUCUUGUUAAUUGCUCCACCACACUAUACUCACUGUGUUUGAAAAUUUUGAGAAAUUCACCCGCUUCUUUCUCCGUAAUAAGACUUUUAACCUCGUUGUUUGGAGCAACUGUAGGUUCGGUAGUUUGGUCCUUGGGAAAGGUACUUGCUUUUUUCGGAUAUUCUCUUUGUUUGGAUUUUCCUUUUUCAACCCUUUCUGCGAUCUCAAGAGAAUAACAUCACCCACUUCGCGUUAUAUCUCCCACACCAGUUAGAUCUGCAGAAGAUACUUGGGAAGUAAGGGGGGCAUGCCCAAGAUAUUACAUUCGUAAUUCCAAGGAACAGCCUCCUCACUCUUAUAUGGGAAUGGAUUGGGAAUUUUAAUGGUAAUACCACUUCCGUCAACAGUAGGGGAUGUAUCAUUCAUCGGACUCCUGUUUUCUUCAUAAAAGAUGGUGAGAGGUUUUGGUUUGUUCAUACCAGAUGAACUUAAUGCCACUUCAGUUAGGGUAUCUUCAUUUAUGGUUCCAACCAAAUCUUCUUCGCCUUCUACAUAAAACUCAAUUAUUGACAAAUCCAUCAACUCUUGCAACUUACAACGAAAGCCAUCGCAAUUUUGAAUAGAAUGUCCAAUGGCCCCUAUAUGAAAUUUGCAAGAAUGAGUGAGAUCAUGCCCCAAUUCUUUUGUGUCAAUUGGUUUUGGAGUGAUGGCAUUUAUUUUCAACAACGCCUCAAACACUUUAUCCAUUGGCGUUUGAAUCUCAUCGAUACUCCUUUUCACCCUUCGAGUCAUCCCUUCAUGUAUGGCGUUUACUGUCGACCUUCCAUGGUUAGGCAAGGGAUUCCCAUCAACAUUUGAAUUAUCCUUUUUAACAAAAUUUAAAAGUCCUACCUUAAUAAGCGCUUGGACCUUAUGCUUUAAUGCAAUACAAUUCUCCGUGGAGUGCCCUUAAAUUCCAAAAUGGUAAUCACAAUGCGCAUUCAGGUCAUACCAUUUCGAAAAAGGAGGUUGGAGUGGUUCCAAAUGGGUUCGAGCAAGGAGUCGAUUUUCUAAGAGUUGUGGCAACAAUAUAGUGUAAAGGACUGGGAUAGGAUCAAACUUAGGUUUUUCUGGGGUAGUUUUAAGUCCUCUUUGACCAUUACCAAAAUUAUUGGCUGAAGCUACCGAUCUUAGUGGUGGAGCUUGUGGGAGAACAUUGGUCUGAAACGUUGGUUGUGGGGCAGAUUGGUACACAUAUGGGUUUUGUGUGAUGUCGCCUAUGUUCGGAUAGAAAGGUUGGUAUGGGGGGUACGGGUGAUAUGGGCUAAAGUUGUGGGUUUGUUGUUCGUCAUGGGAGACUGCUUGCACAUCCCCUUUUUUUUCUUUUAGGCAUACUCCCUUUCUUUGAGCUAGCAACUUCAUGCCCUUCAAUUUUUCCACUUUUGAUAGCUCAUUUUAUUAUUUCUCUAGAUAAGAUCAAAUCCGUAAAGUUUUUCGUGGCAUUACCGAUCAAGCGCUCAUAGAAUGAAGCUCGGAGUGUGUUUAUGAACAAACAAUCAUUUUCUUAUCAGUGAGAGGUGGUUGAACUUGUGCUGUUAUAUCCCUCCACCUUUGGGCAUACUCUUUGAAGCUCUCACUUUGCUUCUUUUCCAUAGUCUGUAAUGACAACUGAUCAUGGGCUAAUUCAACCAUAUGCUUGUAUUGGGCUAUGAAAGCUCUUGCUAGAUCUUUCCAGAUCUUAAUAUGAUUUCGAUCCAAUUGUACGUACCAUUGAGCAGCUGACCCAGUCAAGCUAUCUUGGAAGAAAUGGAUCAGUAACUUGUCAUCAUGAGACUGUGCAGCCAUUUUUCGACAAUACAUGGUAAUACGUGCCACGAGACACUUCGUUCCGUCAUAUUUUUCAAAUUUCAGAACCUUGAACUUGGCAGGGAUCAGUACAUCAGGCACUAAGCAUAGUUUGGCUGCGUCUAUGGUGCCGAACCUAUCAACUCCUUCGAUAGCACGAAGGCGUUCCUCCAACAAAUCAUAUUUUUUUUCUACUUUUUCAUUUUCCCCCAUCUGUGAUGAACUCUUCCUUAACUUUUCUUGCUCUUUUGGAUCGUCUAAAUUUGGAACGUGUAUUAGUUCAGCAGGAUUUAUCCCAGCAUUCAAUCUAAAUUGCCCAUGAGUCAGUUGAUGGCCCAUCUAGGGUAAUAUAUUGUAAUAACCGGAUGACAUCACUUGAGGGUGGACCCUUAGAAAAGUCUGAGCAUGGGGUGGAGUGAAGCCCAGGGGAUAAGGUGGAUCAUCCCUUGAGUUUCCAGUGUCUUGUGCUAGUGGGUUUUCUGGCGAAGUUGACUCUUCAAUCGCUCUUUUUUCUUUACUCAAGCUCAUCAUCAAUUCCAUCAUCUUUGCUAACUACUCUCUCAUUUCUUCUUGAACUUUUUCCAUCUUAUCCAUUCGCUCCCUUUGUUUUUCUUCCAUGAUUCUUGCUCAUCGACGCGUACUAUGAACACGUUGGUCACCGAUUUUAGGUUGUCAAUCUAUCUUGGAAUCCUUAUUUUUAAAUCAUAAACAUGAAUUAGAUGCAUUUUUUUUUUGGUGCAUGAAUGAGAUGAAAAAAAUGCACCCAUUAUCUUUAUUUAUAGACAAAAAUACUUAUUAUCAUGAAAUGAGGAUUUAUGCAUGUAUAAAUGAAUGAUCAUGUACUAAAAGUACUUGUCACAUAAUAUCCAUCAACAAAGUAAUCCAUUGCAUAAGAUAUUAUCUUUUAUUACAAUUCAGGAAUCAUCUUUUAUAUAUAGAAAUAUUCACCAAUUUUGUCGUAAUGGUUAUACACUUCAUCAAGAUACUUAAUCAACUGUUGCUCUCGUUUCCCAAUUAGAAAGACCUGACUCCUCAAUAUGUCUAUUUUCCUAGCCAUGCUUCUUGCCUUGUAAGCCACUUCCUUCACUUGCCUAAGCAAGUAAUCCAUCUGGUCGUGUUUUUCCACAUAAGCUUGUUUGUAGGAUUCACCCCAUUCUCGAAUCCAGGUGCUCCCUUGCUUAAGGAGUUCAUAUUCCUGUUGAUAAGUCGUCAUGACCCCUUCGAGCUCUUCAUACUCUUGCCUUAGUAAUUGGAUGGACUUUUGUUGAAAUCGCACUUGAUUUCUCAGUCCAUCAUUGUACGCUUAAAGCUCAUUGCCUUGGUUUUCUUUCACUUGUAUUUCCCUUUGGAGUUCACUAGUCGUGGCAAAAAACUUGCUAUUUAGGCUCUCAUACUUCUUCUCCCAAUCACUUUCUAUUUUUCGAGCUUUCUUUAAUUGCUCAGCUGCUUCGUUCUUCAUCUUCUCCCAUUCUUUUUAGAGAUCUUCAUAUCGUUGUUUCCAAGUGGAAUUUUCAGCUUCGGAUUUCUUUCGAGCUAACUCACUUUCGAGCAAAGCAUCUCGUGGUUCGGGAUUAACUAGAACACAAAGUGUAUUUUCUUUUGGGUGUACCACAUCCUUAACUCGUUGGUCAUGCCACAUCAGAUACCCAGUAGUAACUUCAUCGGUGUACCUCCCUUGGUCAACUCGACUUGUCUUCUUCCAAGCUCGUGUAAUCUCCUCAAUCCUUUUCAGAAAACCCAACUCUCCAUAAGCAAACUCCAAAGUGUUGAGUUGGUGUGUCAUAGGCACAACUUGCUCUAACUUGAAUUAUCUUCUCACCAUGAUUGGGGCAUAGUUGAUCGCUCCCCAUGGCCCCAUUAAUGGUACCCAAGGUUCAUCCCCGCAUUUGCACAUGACUGGGCGAUGGGGCAUCCAUGGAGCUCUCCACGUUACCUCCACGCUUAUGAGUUUCCUAAGCCUAAAGAUCCAUUGCUCCUUAAUAUUGUUUGUCGGCCAUUUGCUCUCACAAAAUUCUCUGAUGGGGGCACUUUACAAAUGAAAUGGCUUUCUGAACCUAUUAACCUUGCAUUCAAAGUGACUUACUAUCCAUAUGGAAAAAAGAUGUGCGCAUCCCACAAAUCGUCCUUUCUCUUUUCUUCGACAAUAAUUCAGUGAUUUAAGAGUUUCUCUAGGAUUGAAGGUGUCACGACUCGGUACUCCCCUCGAGCUCGUAACAACCGCCGCGAUGUCCCGAUCGACACUCAUUACCCCGGAUGUCAACCGGAACCCCGCAAGGCUUUAAUAUUAGCUUUUCAUUCCCCCUGUGAGUAACUAUUGCCAAAUACAACGUUCUAAAAGAUUUUAAACUAUUUCCAACUUAAAACAAAUAAAAUAAUAAUUUUCAUCUCACAGGGGUAUUUUGGUCAUUUUUCUAAAAAAUUUGGAAACCGACUAAAAUGUAAUUUUCAAAUACAAAACACAUAAUUCAUAAUCAAAAUGUGUUUAAAAAUCUAAAAUCUUCAUUUAAAAUGAAAUUAUGGUUAUUUGAAUAUAAUAAGAAAAUAAAGGAAAUAUUAAGUAAAAUAUUCUAUUUUCUUAUGAAAUAAUAUUUUUAGAGUUAUACGUAAUUAAUUUUCGGAGCGUAAAAGCUAAAUAAAUUUAUACAUACUGUAAUACAGUAAGCCAAAAUAUUUAAUUAAAUUUACAAUAACAAGAGGGCCCUCGAAUAAACAAAAGUAAAGAGGACUGUGAACCUACAGUUUGGAAAAUGCAGAUCCAACGGCAGUCCUCGAUGAGAUCAGCUAUCUACAGUCUAUACUGAACCUAAAAUGGGUGGAAAUGAGGGUGGUGAAAUUAUAAAAUCUCAAUGAGUAAACAAACAUCAUCAUAAACAUCUAGAGUUGAGUACAUGGAGACAAUAAAGUAAAUCAUCGUAAACUGGGUCACAGCAUUAGAACACAUUUCAUUUAAAAUACGUAAAGAGGCUUAUGAAUCUCAUAAAAACUAGGCUUGUGCCAUAAAUCUAUCCUCGGGGACACCUUGGCUGAGGCAUCCUACCGAGACCGCCAAGGCUGUUAAACAUUCACAUUUCACAUAAAUCAUAUUUUUAUUUUGAAAACAUAGUCGUUCCUUGGCGUUGGCUAAGUUCCCCCUCACGUGGUGGUUUGGCAUGAAGUGAACCCUAAGCUUUACCCUAGGAGAUACCCUACGCGCCUCUCCGUUCGAGGUAAGAAUAUAAUGGGGUUUACUGUGCCCUUCUAAAAGGCUGGUCCACAGAAAUCCCCUACUGUAGUGAUUAAUUAAUAUAUAUCCACCAUAUAAUAAAAUUUUGAUGGCAUGACAAGGCUAAUGAAAUACUACCCAGCCUGUAAGGGUAAAAUAAAACAAUUCAUACAAUUCAUAAAACACAGCCCAGCUAGUUAUGCCAACACAAUAACAAUAUAACAUAAGCCAUCAAUUUGAACAAUCAAAUUGCCACAAUUAACAAUCUCCGUGUACUUUAUUUUUUUCAAAAUCAUUAUUAGUUUCAAAACAAUUUAUAAUUUAAUUUCAUUGGAACACCUUUAUUCAUAAAACAUGAAAAUUUACCUUUUAAAUCCAUUUUUCCAUAGAAUUCAUGAAAUCAUUUAAAAACCAUCAUAGAUAAUUAAAAUGACAGUAAGUUUACUCACAAUGUCUAGAAUGUAGACUUUCGAAGUACUCUGUUUACUGGUCAUCGGAUGCAAUUUCCUUGCCUUUAUCGAAUGACUCACCAUCUUGACACAGUACAAAAUUGAGAAAUUCACCACAUUGAUACUAAAUUGAAAUAAAACUAAUUUAGGCUACUAAUGCAUGAUAUGGAAUGCAAAAAUGUCCGAAUAGCCGUUUAAAUACAGUAUUCGACCUAAUUCGCAUUAUUCUUAGUCUAAUCGGCUAAAAUCUUCAAUUUAACUCCAAAUCGAUUCUUUUCACUUUCUACACUCCAAUUAUACCUAAAUUACCUUAGGGACUGUGAAUGAGGUUCAAUUUAUUGGUCUCGGGUCAAUAAUUACACAUGUCUAUAUGUUGAGCAAAAAUUCAUAUUUUCGCACUAAAAUUUCCCAUUUAAUUCUAGCCUCACCAAACAUCAAAUAUCACCAAAAUAUCAUGAAAUAUCAUCAAAUUCAGCCACAAUAUUCUCCCUAGGAAAUUUGGCCAAUGAUGGUAAUGGGGAAAAAUGAAUUCUUUUCUUGUUGUUUUGUUUCUAAAUAUGCUAAACUAACUUAAAACACUAACAUAACUUAAAAUCAAAUCAAUCUAACUUCAUUCUCUCUCAUACCCAUUUGGGCAGCCAUGAAUUCACCAUGAGAACAUGAAAUCUAACCAUGGAAAAUAAGGAGAAAAGCAUGGGAAAGGUAGAUCACAAGUCAAAAUCAAGAAAUUUUACCUUUGAUUGCUUGAUUCCUUGAAAUCCCACACUUUUUCUUUAAUUUUCCCACCUAGGUUUGUUGUUUUUCUUUUCCUCUCUUUGUUCUUGCUAUGGCCGGC